rnacentral:rRNA from 1 species
GCCAAAAAGCUAGCUUAAUUAUUAAGACAACCUAACAACAUUAUCUUGUCUUACACAACCCCACCCAACUAAUCAAACCAUUUUCCUGCCUUAGUAUGGGCGACAGAAAAGGCACCACCCAAAAGCAAUAGAAACAGUACCGCAAGGGAAAGCUGAAAAAGAAAUGAAAUAAUUACACAAGCACAAUAAAGCAGAGACACAACCUCGUACCUUUUGCAUCAUGAUUUAGCCAGAACUAUUUGAGCAAAGAGCACUUCAGUUCAAAACCCCGAAACCAAGCGAGCUACCUCGAGACAGCCUAUCUCAGGGCCAACCCGUCUCUGUAGCAAAAGAGUGGGAAGAUCUCCGGGUAGAAGUGACAAACUUAUCGAGCUUGGUGAUAGCUGGUUGCCUAAGAAUUGGAUAAAAGUUCAGCCUCGUACUCCUCCGCCCAAACAUCACCCACAACACGAACCAGAGAAACUUACGAGAGUUAGUCAAAGGGGGUACAGCCCCUAUGACACAGGACACAACCUUCUCAGGUGGUUAAAGAUCAUAUACCCUAAAACAACUGUUUCAGUGGGCCCAAAAGCAGCCACCCGUAUAGAAAGCGUUACAGCUCAAACAGAUUAAAUCUAACAAUCCAGAUAUUAUAUCUUAAACCCCUAACCCUACUAGGCCCUCCUAUGCUGACAUAGAAGAGACCCUGCUAAAAUGAGUAACAAGAAGAUACCCCCUUCUCCUAAGCCCAAGUGUAAACUAGAUCGGACCCUCCACUAGCAAUUAACGAACCCAACCAAAGAGGGCAUUGUGACCUCAACAAAUAACAAGAAAACCCCACACCACCAAUCGUUAACCUUACACCAGAGCGCAACUAAGGAAAGACUAAAAGAAAAGGAAGGAACUCGGCAAACACAAGCCUCGCCUGUUUACCAAAAACAUCGCCUCCUGCAAAAAACAAUACAUAGGAGGUCCCGCCUGCCCACUGACUCUGUGUUUAACGGCCGCGGUAUUUUGACCGUGCAAAGGUAGCGCAAUCACUUGUUUCAUAAAUUGAAACCCGUAUGAAUGGCAAGACGAAGGCUUAACUGUCUCCCCUUUCAGGUCAGUGAAAUUGAUCUGCCCGUGAAGAAGCGGACAUACUUAUACAAGACGAGAAGACCCUUUGGAGCUUAAGACUUAAACCAACUGUGUAACAGACUAAUUACCUUUAGUCAAACUAAACCUUGCACUGGCCUACGUCUUCGGUUGGGGCGACCACGGAGAAAAACAAAGCCUCCGCGCAGAAUAGGAAAAAUAUUCCUUGAACCAAGAGAGACAUCUCUAAGCCACAGAACAUCUGACUAAAACAGACCCGGGUAUAACACCCGAUUAACGAACCAAGUUACCCUAGGGAUAACAGCGCAAUCCCCUUCCAGAGCCCUUAUCGACAAGGGGGUUUACGACCUCGAUGUUGGAUCAGGACAUCCUAAUGGUGCAGCCGCUAUUAAGGGUUCGUUUGUUCAACGAUUAAAGUCCUACGUGAUCUGAGUUCAGACCGGAGAAAUCCAGGUCGGUUUCUAUCUGUAAUGUCACUUCUCCUAGUACGAAAGGACCGGAGAAGAAGAGCCAAUACUAUAAGCACGCCCUACUAUAACUUGAUGAUACCAAAUCAAUCAAACAAAAUUAAACACUCUACCCCCCAAAAGAAGGGGC